rnacentral:rRNA from 1 species
AUACCGGCCGCUCUAGUGGUAGCAGUUUUUAUUGGGCCUAAAGCGUCCGUAGCCGGUUUAAUAAGUCUCUGGUGAAAUCCUGUAGCUUAACUGUGGGAAUUGCUGGAGAUACUAUUAGACUUGAGACCGGGAGAGGUUAGAGGUACUCCCAGGGUAGAGGUGAAAUUCUGUAAUCCUGGGAGGACCGCCUGUUGCGAAGGCGUCUAACUGGAACGGUUCUGACGGUGAGGGACGAAAGUUAGGGGCGCGAACCGGAUUAGAUACCCGGGUAGUCCUAACUGUAAACGAUGCGGACUUGGUGUUGGGGUGGCUUUGAGCUGCUCCAGUGCCGAAGGGAAGCUGUUAAGCCCGCCGCCUGGGAAGUACGGUCGCAAGACUGAAACUCAAAGGAAUUGACGGGG